GUUGGAGAAUUGAUCCUCUGGAAGGUGUUCAAAUGAUGUACAUAAUCGAUGUUUAAGUACAAGUUACUGAUCAGAUUAACUGCAAUGAACCUGUCAUUUCCAACAUCAGUUUUGAAGACCAACAUUAUGCUGCCUUUAAUGGAGGGGAUCGGUGUAAACAACAUCCACAUUCCAUCCAAGGCCCAGACUAGACACCAGAGUUACUAGUUUUUACAUGGCUUGAUUAGAAAAGAGGUGGUUCCUAUGCACUGAAGUUUUCUCUACUAGAAUGGGCACAUUUCCCAGCACAAAUAUGAUACUUCUAUACUAAUCAGGAUGGAGUCUUAUCCUGCAAUGAGACUUAAAUUUUGGGCCUUUCACCACAUCAUUGCUGUUUUCUACGAGGUCAAAAAUAGAUAUAGAGUAAACCAACCCCAAAAGUCAAUUACAGGGUUUUAUAGUGAUGUACUGUGAAAAAUUUGGUCAUGUUUUUCAUUAUACAGAAUGUUCUUUCCAAAGACAUAAACAGAAAAA